rnacentral:lncRNA from 10 species
GGUGACUCCCCCCACGAUUGCGGUCCCCCGCCCUCCGCCCGGCCGCCGCUGGCGGACCCCAAAGUCGGGGCGAGUCUCCAAACCGGGGAGCCGGCCCCGCCCCCACGCCGCGGCGGCGCCCUCCCUUCCCCCUCCCCGCCGCCCGCCUCUCCCCCUCCCCCCUCCAUAACUCAAAAGCCUGUCAAGCUGGUUCCAGACUCCUGGCGCCGGGCUCCGCUCCAGGAAAGAAAAAAAGGAAAGAGAAAAAGGGAAAAAGCCGGCGCGAGGGAGCGAGAGAGGCCCGCGGAGCAAAACCGUGCGCCCCGGCACGCACAGCCCCGCGGCCCCCGACCCCCCACGCCCCUAACCCUAACGGGGAUCCCAGUCCUAGGGACACCGGGCGCGUGCGCGACCCCAAUCAGUUAUUUAUGGGCGAAUUAAUUAUGUAGCUGCCAUGGGCGGGGGGGCCGGCAGGGGCCAUGCGACGCGGAGACCACCCGGCCGCGGUGGCGGCUCUCCUGCCGGGCCUCGGGGUCGGGAGGCGUCCCCACGCCGCCCGGGGAGGAUCCCGUUGUGAGAAAGCUGCCUCGGGGUGGGGUCCGGGAGGAGCGCGGGGGAACCUGAGGAAGCGGGAGAGACGGCUCGGAGACCUCCCAAUUAGACUGGGAGGGGAGAGGGGGGCGGGCGACGGAGCUGGAAAGAGCGGGCCGCGGAGACCGGGGCGUGGGAAGAGCCUGGCCUAGGCAUUUCUUCCCUUCCUUCCUUCCUUCAUCCCCAUCCUUACUGCGAGCCCACUACGUGCCACUGCGCCCACAGCAGAGGGCGGUAUUAGGGAGGGGUUAGGAGCAGGAAGGAAUUUCGAGGUACAGCUGGGUCCAAAUCCGGAUUUGUAUCCUAUACUCCCCUGCUGUGUGGCCUUAGGCAACGGCUUGCCCUCUCGGAGCCUCCACUUCCUCAUCUGCCAGUGGUCUUCAGGACUUGGGAGAUGGGGCGCUUGGGCAGAGAGUUUGUGGGGGCGCGGUCGAAGGGAGGUCCUGUCCUUGGGAAACUUUACAUAGAGGGGAACAUGCCCAGUCCCCCAGUAUUCCCCAUCUCGAAGCCCCGACUUUGGGUCUCAUAUAAUCUGCCUCUCCCCGGGGCCCACACAUUUGAAGGUCGUUAUUAAAACCACACCACCCCCAAGGCCACUGCUCAGGACGCUCACCCCUAGCUGGCUUCUCACCAGCCUGGCCCUGCAGAAGGUCGUGCAUAUGGCAGCCAGAGGGGCUCAAUCUAGUCCUUUUACUCCCCACCUCCGCUGCCUCCCCCGACUCUGCCCUUCACAUCCCCACCUGGGUUCUCCUUCCAACCUGCUUCUAGUCUGGGCUAGGGAGAUUGGAGCCCUGAGGCCAUGGGGGCUACGGGGCAGUGAGAACAGGGGUGGGGGCUCAGCUGGCCCUCCCUGGACAAGUGUCCCCCUUAUCUGGAGUGUCAAGGCGUUCUACUUCCAAGACUCAGAAGUGAAGGAGGCUUCCGUUUGCGACCCAGGAUUGCCUAGGGGUUUGCCUGUCUUCUUUCACCAAAACUUGCAAUAACUCUGUUAGGUGAAUGGGGCAGAUCCAGGUUUUAUGGGGCCUGAAGGUUUUACAAUCCUGGGGACCCACUUGAAGAAGAAUAGUGCAAAGUUAUGAAUAGGCGGUUAAGCUCAGGGCCUUGGUAAAUGACAGUCCCAGGAGCUAAAGCUUCAUUAGCCCCUCGGUAACUCACCUCUGUAGAUGGACAACACAACUGUCAUCCCUUUGCAGAGGUGGAAACAAAGCUUAGGCUGGCCCAAGGUCACAACAGGUAGAAAGGACAAGCUGGGAUCAAACCCAGGUCCCACCCCACAGGCAGCACCCUGAACUAACUGCCUCAGUAGGAAUGCCACCUUCCAUAUCAUCUACCCCAUGCCACAUCUCACCUGUCCCCACCAGUGCCCAGCCCAGGCAGGGUCAGUCAGAACAGCCUUUGCUUCCAGAACAGUCUGUGUCCCUCCCUCCAGAGGCCUCCAUGUCCCAAGGCUCAAGCCUCAGAGAUACUGUCUUGUGACAACACUCACAGAUCUAGUAAGUAGGUCUCUUCUAAACUUUUGAUUCCAGCAAUGGUAACCUGCUCACUCCAGAACUCCAGCUCCCCCGUCCACCUGGAGGGAGCGCACCCCUGUUCCCCGGUGGGCUCCCUGGUGUUCGGGGCUGGAUCUGUUUUAUUUGGCUCAGUAUUCCCCGCUCUUGACGCAGUACAGACAUACAGCCGACAGAGUGACUGUAGCAGUAACAUCUAUUCCCAACCUCGUGGAACAGGAUGUUGUUAAACUGCGGAUUCCCGGGCCCCCCUCAGAUUCUACUGAAUCAGACUCUCUGUGCACAGGGCCGGGGACUUGGCAUUUUACAAGCUCUUUUGGGUGCAUCUUAACCAUAGUAAAGUUCGAGACCACGGACCUACGGCCAGAAAGGACCAAAUGGUUGUGUCUAGACCAAGGCCUUCUCACCAGGGGGAGUUAUCUCCCCUAAAUCCGACCGAUUUCACCAGUUCCCCAGGCUCUUCUGGCUGAGAUCAAAUUAUUUCACUUAUCAGGCCAGGCACAGUGGGUCAUGCCUGUAAUUCCAGCACUUUGGGAGGCUGAGGUGGGUGUGUCACUUGAGGUCAGGAGUUCAAGACUAGUCUGGCCAACAUGGCAAAACCCCGUCUCUACUAAAAACACAAAAAUUAGCUGGGUGUGGUGGUGGGCGCCUGUAAUCCCAGCUACUCAGGAGGCUGAGGCAUGAGAAUCGCUUGAACCCGGGAGGUGGAGGUUGCAGUGAGCCAAGGUCGUGCCACUGCACCCCAGCCUGGGUGACAGAGCAAGACUCAAAAACAGCAACAAAAAUUAUUUCAUGUAUCAAAGACCUACUGCCUGCCCGGGACUGGGUCUGAGGCCUUAGAGAAUUGACCUCAUAGGAUACUCGCAAAAGCUCUGAGAAGUAGGGAGAAUUAUUGUCCCCAUUUUACAGAUGGAAUCUGAGGCCUGGAGAAGCAAAGUGGCUUUGUGGAAGGGAUACGGUGCUGGGGAAUGAGGAGGCUGGGAUGGGAGCUGAACUCACACCCUUAACUCCUUCCUUCCACUGCCCACAAGGCCACUGAUCCGAGGGCUGUAACUCGCAAGGGUCCUUCAGUAACAUCCGGAGAUGAGAGUUUACACACCAGCCUGUGAGCGGCUUUGAGAAAUUAAACACGCUACAGAGUCACUACAGGGACCUCAUGCUAAGACGCGCAACAAAAUUAGGCGACAGGCCCCAAAGAAAUCUAAUCAAGUAGGCCUCUUCUCCUCCGUAUCUUUGGAGUCGGUGUUCAGGGGAAUGUGUGUUUGCGGAAGGAUUUGAUGUAUUUGCUUCAGGCAAAUCUUUGCCUUUUUCUCUGCCUGCAGUUCUGUGCUAGGCAGCAAGAAAGCUCCACAGCUGGUGGCCAGUGCUGCAGGCCAGCGUGGCUCCCUGGGCUUCUCUGUAGGGCUGUGUUAUCACGCUUCCCCGGGUCCGGUGCUCUGUGCAAACGUAGCCUCUUUCCUGCUCCAGGAUGGGCAAGGCACAGGGGAGGUUUCAGGUGGAGAGAAAUUGAUUUAGUGGCCACUGCUUCUGAGGCUGGAGGACCUGCCUGAGGCAGAGGGUGUGGACUUGUUCUGGGAGGACCCAGAAGGCAGAACCACGGAAGGCUACCAAGGGAGAGAUGAGGACACUGAGGCUCAGAGGGCUGACAUGCCAAGCCCCAGGGCACAGGAAGGCAGGCCUCUGCUUCCACCUCACAUCCCCCAGUGCCUCUGGAAACCGCAGCCUGUGGAGGGCCUGAGGUCGCUUAUCACCUGUCUCUGCAGCUCAUCCUCAGCAAAGACUGAGGGUCCUUGAUGCUGUCCGGGUCCUUGAUGCUGUCCCCAUCUUUAUGCCAGGUCUCAUCUCAGAGGCAGGCUCAGGAAGGGAGCUGGGAGAUGCCGGCAGAGGGCCCAGGAGAGGCACACUGCCCACCAGCUAGGAGCUGCUUCUGACCUCGCUGGCCGAUGGCCGGGGACCCUGGCCCCUCCCAACCCCAGGGACACAAAGCAGAAGAUCCCAGAAUGGGGAUGGGGAGAGAGGACCAUCUUGUUCAACUUCCUCAUUCUAUACCAGGAAAACAGGCAUCGGAGAAGGGAAGAGAUACCUCAAGGUCAACGCCAAGUCCAGCAGCUGCUGCUCUCCUGAGUCCUCCACGUGGACUUCUUCUGCGUUCCCACAUCUCAUUCCUCCAAUUUUUUUUUAAAAAUUGUUAGUAGUAGCAUAAUACUAAGAAAGCACUAUUCAAAGGAACAAGAAGACCCACCGUGUGCGGAACGGUCACUGUGCACCAGGCAACGUGACCCGCAAUUUUCUCUCCUAUAAAACGGGGAUGAGAACAGGGCCUCCCCUGCUGACUCAUGGGAAGAGGUUAAGAUCAAAGGUGACAGUGGACAUGAAUCAGCAUUUUAUAAACCACAAGACAUUGUCACCAUGGCUAUCUUUGGUUUUUAUUAUUUAUUUUUUAAUUUUUUAAUUUUUAUUUUUUGAGAGCAGGGUCUCACUCUGUUACCCAGGCUGCAGUGCAGUGGUGCAAUCAUGGCUCUCUGCAGGCUCAAAUCCUGGGCUCAAGCAAUCCUCCACUCAGCCUCCUGAGUAGGUGGGACUAUAGGUGUGUGCCACCUUGCUAUUAAAUUACCUGGCUAUGGCCGGGCACAGUGGCUCACACCUGUAAUCCCAACACUUUGGGAGGCUGAGGCGGGUGGAUCACUUGAGGUCAGGAGUUCAAGACCAGCCUGGCCAACCCCGUCUCUACUGAAAAUACAAAAAUUAGCUGGGCAUGGUGGCACAUGCCUGUAAUCUCAGCUGCUAGAGAGGCUGAGACACAAGAAUUGCUUGAACUUGGGAGGCAGAGGUUGCAGUGGGUCGAGAUUGCCCCACUGCACUCCAGCCUGGGUGACAGAGCGGGACCCUGUCUCCAAAA